CCAUCCCUGGCCCGCAGACCGCACAAUCGAUAAUUUCACCGAUAUUAACAGCUGUUUAUAACAGAAGAAACGCAUUACUAACAGAAAAACAAAACAGCUGCCGCGCAAUUGAAAAUUGCGCAAAAACAAAAGGAAAUCCAAAACAACCUAUUGACGACGGGCCCAGUUGGACCCCGGCGUACCCACCCUGCCUGAGAUGGCUACAUCGGCGACAUCUCCCUUGCGUUGGCCACCAUAUCGGUGGCUGCUCCUCAUCCGGCGUAGUGCUGUGGAAUUCCCCUUCCCUCCAUGCUGAGAAACUCACACAACCAUGUUCAACAUAUCAUACAAAUAUUUGGACAAAAUGGCAAAGGAGCAAGAUCAAACAAAAUCACGCAGUAGGACGAGCGAAACAACA